rnacentral:rRNA from 1 species
CCCUUAGAUGUUCUGGGCGGCCCGCGCACUACAAUGGCGUGUGCAGCGAGUGCCGAAGUAGAGUUUUCCGAGGUAUUCUUGCAAUGCUCGUUUUGAUGGGGAUAGACCCUUGCAACUGUUGGUUUUGAACGAGGAAUUCCUUGUAAGCAUGGUUUAUCAUCCGACGCUGAAUGCGUCCCUGCCCUUUGUACACACCGCCCGUCGCUCCUACCGAUGAGUCGUCCGGUGAAGUUCGUAGACCUCGUGAUCGCGGAUCACUGGGGGAAGCAAAAUGAACCUCGCGGUUUAGAGGAAGGAGAAGGCGUAACA